rnacentral:misc_RNA from 1 species
GGAAGGAUCAUUACUGAAGGAACGGGGGACCCUCUUGUAGUAGACCAUUCAAGGCCUGCCAUCAGAAUUUGACGAUAAUCAACUCGGCUCGUUGCCCAACCAUCAGGGAGUGAUUCUCAUCACAUUAGCACCUGGUUUGGGCAAUGCGUGCAUUGGCGCCUCUUGAUCUUGGUGCUCAUUGCCAAGGAUGUGAUUUGAAUCUUUGUCACUUCACUGUCCAUACACGGCGGGCCUGGUUCGCAAUCGGGUGCCCUUUUCAAGAGGUCGAAGUUGGUUGGAUGUCGGAUGGCGUUGCGCGGGCCUUUGGUCUCCUAUGUUAACACAAAACCUGUCGUCGCAUGGUGUUGCACUUAAACAUGUAAUAUAACUUUCAACAACGGAUCUCUUGGCUCUCGCAUCGAUGAAGAACGCAGCGAAAUGCGAUAAGUAAUGUGAAUUGCAGAAUUCAGUGAAUCAUCGAAUCUUUGAACGCACCUUGCGCUCCUUGGCAUUCCGAGGAGCAUGCCUGUUUGAGCGUCGUCGAAUUCUCAGGAUCCUAUCAUAACCAGCCUUUCUUGAAGGAAGGGGACAUAGCUCUACACCAUUGGGUGUGGGCGCCAGCAGAGGACCGGACCCCCCCCCCGCCUUUGGUCUACUUCCUUGAAAGAUUGGCGACAGAGGUAGUGACUGGCACAAACAAGUUUUUGGCCAAGAUUCAUUCUUGAGAGAAGGGGAGGCAGUUAAGCCACUUUCAGGUGCUUGCCGGUUAGGCGGUGCGCUGUUUGGGCCGAGCUUCGCUCGACCACCCUUGCUGCCAGGCCGGCGGCCCCCUUCCUCAAGGAUUGGGGGAGCAAAGUGGGCACAAAACUUGUUUGGCCAAGAAGCCAGCUGCCAGAUUACAUGCUGGUGGAUGGUGGGGCUGGUCUACUACUUCCGAUCAGGUGGGAUGUGUGGAUUGUGGAUUGUGGAGGAUGCACUGUGCACUCACUCACUGCCUUUGCUUCUCUGAAAUGGAUUGCCUGUCUGUCUGGGUUGUGGAGGAUGUCAUUGCUCGGUUCUCUGAUAUGCCAUGCCCUGAGGGGUCUGGGUUGAGGAGGCGCUUCUCUGAUAUGCCAUGCCCUUAGGGGUCUGGGUUGAGGAGGAUGACGUUGCUCGCUUCUCUGAAAUGCAGUGCCAUUAAGGGCUCUGGUCACGAACCUGUUGCCGGCAUGAUACACACGUCUUGCCCGCUUCUAACCCGUGCCAGCCAAGUCUCAAACGAUUUGACCUCAAAUCAGGCAGGACUACCCGCUGAACUUAAGCAUAUCAAUAAGCGGAGGAAAAGAAACUAACAAGGAUUCCCCUAGUAACUGCGAGUGAAGCGGGAAGAGCUCAAAUUUAAAAUCUGGCGGCCCCCGGCCGUCCGAGUUGUAAGCUAGAGAAGCGCCGUCCGCGCUGGGGCCGUGUACAAGUCUCCUGGAACGGAGCGUCGUGGAGGGUGAGAACCCCGUCUCUGACACGGACCUCCCAGGGCAUCGCGAGGGCGCCCUCAAAGAGUCGAGUUGUUUGGGAAUGCAGCUCCAAAUGGGUGGUAAACUCCAUCUAAAGCUAAACAUUGGCGAGAGACCGAUAGCGAACAAGUACCGUGAGGGAAAGAUGAAAAGAACUUUGGAAAGAGAGUUAAACAGUACGUGAAAUUGUUGAAAGGGAAACGCUUGAAGUCAGACGCGUCGGCCUGGGAUCAGCCCCGCAUCCGCGAGGCGCACUCCCCGGUCGACGGGUCAGCACCAGUUUCGACCGUUGGAGAAGGGUCGGGGGAAUGUGGCAUCCUCGGAUGAGCUUACAGCCCCCUAUCGCAUGCAUCGGUCGGGAUUGAGGAACUCGGCGCGCCGCAAGGCCGGGUCUUCGGACCACGCCCGCGCCCAGGAUGCUGGCACAAUGGCUUUAAUCGACCCGUCUUGAAACACGGACCAAGGAGUCUAACGUGCCUGCGAGUGUUUGGGUGGAAAACCCACGCGCGCAAUGAAAGUGAAAGUUGAGAUCCCCGUCGUGGGGAGCAUCGACGCCCGGACCAGACCUGCUGUGACGGAUCCGCGGUGGAGCAUGCACGUUGGGACCCGAAAGAUGGUGAACUAUGCCUGAAUAGGGCGAAGCCAGAGGAAACUCUGGUGGAGGCUCGUAGCGAUUCUGACGUGCAAAUCGAUCGUCGAAUUUGGGUAUAGGGGCGAAAGACUAAUCGAACCAUCUAGUAGCUGGUUCCUGC